CACGUAGGGUGCGAGCGUUGUCCGGAAUUAUUGGGCGUAAAGAGCUCGUAGGCGGUGUGUCGCGUCGGCCGUGAAAACCUGCAGCUUAACUGUGGGCUUGCGGUCGAUACGGGCAUCACUGGAGUUCGGCAGGGGAGACUGGAAUUCCUGGUGUAGCGGUGAAAUGCGCAGAUAUCUGGAGGAACACCGGUGGCGAAGGCGGCAUCCUGGACCGAGAUUGACGCUGAGGCGCGAAAGCUAGGGGAGCAAACGGG
rnacentral:rRNA from 1 species